AUGCAUGCGUCCACGCUGAGGCAAAAUGAGGGCAGAGUGAACCGGGGAUGGUGUUGGAACCGAACUAGAGGACACCUGGCUGAUGUCCACUGCUUGGUGUGUGUGGCAAAACCCUCCACACAUUUGGUCACAGAAGUCUUCUGGGUUGAUAAUUUUCUGUGGCGUGAGAGCAGAGGGAAGACACAGUUUGAGGUGGGAUUUAUCUUCUUUAAGACAACUUCCCGACCUUGGGCACGUAGAAGGCAGCUGAAGGCAGUGGUGGAUUCUGUCAUUUCAAGCAAAAUCACAUUCAAUUUUUUGACAGCCGCAGGCUUGGGUGGUGUUAAAUUGUGUCAUUUUAGUAUUAAAGAAACACGAUAAAACUUUCAAAGCCUGAUCAUGUGUCUCGGCUGUUUACUGUGGAAAGGUAGGAAAUUGGCUAGAGCAAAAACUAUUCAUGUGAAAAAUAAGGAUUUCAGGUACCUCAGACAACCACACAGACAUAACCCACGGUUUAAAUUGGUAUUUGUGUGGCUAUAUUUGGAGGCAUAAAAAAAUAAACAGAUGUGGAUUUAUCAAAUGAACCCAAGCGAGGCCAGGUCAAAGGAAAUUUCCAGGAGAAACUCCACACAUUAAAUUUCUCUUUGUAAUACAAAAUGACACACUUAAACAAAGAACAGGCUGUACCAACAAGGGCAUUUUAUCUCUAAAG
rnacentral:lncRNA from 1 species